GUUGUAUGGUUAAGUGACUAAGCGUACAUGGUGGAUGCCUUGGCAGUCAGAGGCGAUGAAGGACGUACUAACCUGCGAUAAGCUGUGAGAAGUCGGUAAGAGACGCUAUUACUCACAGAUUUCCGAAUGGGGAAACCCACCCGAGAUAACUCGGGUAUCUGUUACUGAAUACAUAGGUAACAGAGGCGAACCGGGAGAACUGAAACAUCUAAGUACCCCGAGGAAAAGAAAUCAACCGAGAUUCCCUCAGUAGCGGCGAGCGAACGGGGAUUAGCCCUUAAGCAUCUUGGAAGUUAGUGGAACGGUCCUGGAAAGGCCGGCGAUACAGGGUGAUAGCCCCGUACACGAAAACAACCUUGAUGUGAAAUCGAGUAGGGCGGGACACGUGACAUCCUGUCUGAAUAUGGGGGGACCAUCCUCCAAGGCUAAAUACUCCUGACUGACCGAUAGUGAACCAGUACCGUGAGGGAAAGGCGAAAAGAACCCCUGUGAGGGGAGUGAAAUAGAACCUGAAACCGUGUACGUACAAGCAGUGGGAGCCCUUCGGGGUGACUGCGUACCUUUUGUAUAAUGGGUCAGCGACUUACAUUUUGUAGCGAGGUUAACCGUAUAGGGGAGCCGUAGGGAAACCGAGUCUUAACUGGGCGUCUAGUUGCAAGGUGUAGACCCGAAACCGGGUGAUCUAGCCAUGGGCAGGUUGAAGGUUGAGUAACAUCAACUGGAGGACCGAACCCACUAACGUUGCAAAGUUAGGGGAUGACCUGUGGCUGGGGGUGAAAGGCCAAUCAAACUCGGAGAUAGCUGGUUCUCCCCGAAAGCUAUUUAGGUAGCGCCUCGGACGAAUACUACUGGGGGUAGAGCACUGUUUGGGCUAGGGGGUCAUCCCGACUUACCAACCCCAUGCAAACUCCGAAUACCAGUAAGUAAUAUCCGGGAGACACACGGCGGGUGCUAACGUCCGUCGUGAAGAG
rnacentral:rRNA from 1 species